AUUGAACGCUGGCGGCAUGCCUUACACAUGCAAGUCGAACGGCAGCACGGGAGCUUGCUCCUGGUGGCGAGUGGCGAACGGGUGAGUAAUACAUCGGAACGUGCCCAGUCGUGGGGGAUAACGUAGCGAAAGUUACGCUAAUACCGCAUACGAUCUAAGGAUGAAAGCGGGGGACCGUAAGUACUCGCGCGAUUGGAGCGGCCGAUGUCAGAUUAGGUAGUUGGUGAGGUAAAGGCUCACCAAGCCGACGAUCUGUAGCUGGUCUGAGAGGACGACCAGCCACACUGGGACUGAGACACGGCCCAGACUCCUACGGGAGGCAGCAGUGGGGAAUUUUGGACAAUGGACGCAAGUCUGAUCCAGCCAUUCCGCGUGCAGGACGAAGGCCUUCGGGUUGUAAACUGCUUUUGUACGGAACGAAAAAGCUCUUACUAAUACUAGGAGUCCAUGACGGUACCGUAAGAAUAAGCACCGGCUAACUACGUGCCAGCCGCCGCCGUAA
rnacentral:rRNA from 1 species